rnacentral:rRNA from 1 species
GAUGAACGCUAGCUACAGGCUUUAACACAUGCAAGUCGAGGGGCAGCAUGAACUUAGCUUGCUAAGUUUGAUGGCGACCGGCGCACGGGUGAGUAACACGUAUCCAACCUGCCGAUGACUCGGGGAUAGCCUUUCGAAAGAAAGAUUAAUACCCGAUGGCAUAGUUCUUCCGCAUGGUAGAACUAUUAAAGAAUUUCGGUCAUCGAUGGGGAUGCGUUCCAUUAGGUUGUUGGCGGGGUAACGGCCACCAAGCCUUCGAUGGAUAGGGGUUCUGAGAGGAAGGUCCCCCACAUUGGAACUGAGACACGGUCCAGACUCCUACGGGAGGCAGCAGUGAGGAAUAUUGGUCAAUGGACGAGAGUCUGAAACCAGCCAAGUAGCGUGAAGGAUGAACUGCCCUAUGGGUUGUAAACUUCUUUUAUAUGGGAAUAAAGUUUUCCACGUGUGGAAUUUUGUAUGUACCAUAUGAAUAAGGAAUCGGCUAACUCCGUGCCAGCAGCCGCGGUAAC